GGGUCUAUGAUGACAAACCUAUGACAUGAACAGAGAUAGUGACAUAAAACUCAUGCUCAAUAGAAUGCUUUGAGGCCC